rnacentral:rRNA from 1 species
AUUGAACGCUGGCGGCAGGCCUAACACAUGCAAGUCGAGCGGAGCGGCGGACGGGGGAGUAAUGCCUAGGAAUCUGCCUGGUAGUGGGGGAUAACGUCCGGAAACGGGCGCUAAUACCGCAUACUAUCAGAUGAGCCUAGGUCGGAUUAGCUAGUUGGUGGGGUAAAGGCCUACCAAGGCGAAGAUCCGUAACUGGUCUGAGAGGAUGAUCAGUCACAAGGGAAAUGUGAACAGGUCCGGAAGCUUACGGAAGGGAGAGAUGGGGAAUAUGGGACAAUGGGCGAAAGCCGGAUGCAGCCAUGCGGCGUGUGUGAAGAAGGUCUUCGGAUUGUAAAGCACGUUAAGUUGGGAGGCGUUACUAACAGAAGAAGCACCGGCUAACUUCGUGCCAGCAGCCGCGGUAAUAC